rnacentral:rRNA from 1 species
UACGGAGGGUGCAAGCGUUAUCCGGAUUCACUGGGUUUAAAGGGUGCGUAGGUGGGUUUGUAAGUCAGUGGUGAAAUCUCCGUAGCUUAACUCGGAAACUGCCAUUGAUACUAUAGAUCUUGAAUUUUCUGGAGGAUAGCGGAAUAUGUCAUGUAGCGGUGAAAUGCUUAGAUAUGACAUAGAACACCAAUUGCGAAGGCAGCUAUCUACAGGGAUAUUGACACUGAGGCACGAAAGCGUGGGGAUCAAACAGG